CCGAUUACAGGCUCUUGAUUGACGACAUUGGCAAACCAGAUGAGCAGAAUAACACUAUUAGUUUGUAGCCACAGAGACACUCAAGGUUUCUCGCACAUCACACACAUUUUUCUCAAGAGUCUGAGUCUUCCAGGCAUGCUUCCACCUGAAUUUGCCGACCUUACAUUUCUCCAAACUAUUGAUCUCACCCGAACUGUUUCAAUGGGACUCUUCCAAAAGAAUGGCUUCAUUGCAGCAAUUGAAUACCAUCUCACUUACUGCCAAUCGCUUAACGGGGGAAAUUCCACGGGAAUGGGGGAACUUUGCUAAUCUCACUUACUUGAGCCUGGAGGCCAACCAGUUGUCCGGAACUAUCCCUGAGGAGCUUGGAAAUUUGCAAC